rnacentral:rRNA from 1 species
CCUACGGGAGGCAGCAGUGGGGAAUAUUGGACAAUGGGCGAAAGCCUGAUCCAGCAAUGCCGCGUGAGUGAAGAAGGCCUUCGGGUUGUAAAGCUCUUUUACCCGGGAAGAUAAUGACUGUACCGGGAGAAUAAGCCCCGGCUAACUCCGUGCCAGCAGCCGCGGUAAUACGGAGGGGGCUAGCGUUGUUCGGAAUUACUGGGCGUAAAGCGUACGUAGGCGGCUUUGUAAGUCAGAGGUGAAAGCCCACGACUCAAUCGUGGAACUGCCUUUGAGACUGCUUCGCUUGAAGAUGGGAGAGGUUAGUGGAAUUCCGAGUGUAGAGGUGAAAUUCGUAGAUAUUCGGAAGAACACCAGUGGCGAAGGCGGCUAACUGGACCAUUCUUGACGCUGAGGUACGAAAGCGUGGGGAGCAAACAGGAUUAGAUACCCUGGUAGUCCACGCCGUAAACGAUGAUAACUAGCUGUCGGGGCUCUUGGAGCUUCGGUGGCGCAGCUACGACAUUAAGUUAUUCCGUCCGUCGGGUAGGUACGGGUCCGGCCGAACGGUUAAAACGUUAACUAAACUAGAAGUUAGUACGGACGUGAGACGUGCCGACGGACGACCGACCGAGGGAGGUAGG